rnacentral:rRNA from 1 species
AAUCAGCUUGUGUGUUAGUGGAACGGUCUGGAAAGUCCGACGGUACAGGGUGAUAGUCCCGUACACCAAAAUGCACAGGCUGUGAACUCGAAGAGUAGGCGGGACACGUGGUAUCCUGUCUGAAUAUGGGGGGACCAUCCUCCAAGGCUAAAUACUCCUGACUGACCGAUAGUGAACCAGUACCGUGAGGGAAAGCGAAAAGAACCCCGGCGAGGGGAGUGAAAAAGAACCUGAAACCGUGUACGUACAAGCAGUGGGAGCACCUUCGGGUGUGACUGCGUACCUUUUGUAUAAUGGGUCAGCGACUUAUAUUCUGUAGCAAGGUUAACCGUAUAGGGGAGCCGCAGGGAAACCGAGUCUUAACUGGGCGUUAAGUUGCAGGGUAUAGACCCGAAACCCGGUGAUCUAGCCAUGGGCAGGUUGAAGGUUGGGUAACACUAACUGGAGGACCGAACCGACUAAUGUUGAAAAAUUAGCGGA